AAGACCUUGCGCUUUUGGAGCGGCCGAUGCCUGAUUAGCUAGUUGGUGGGGUAAUGGCCUACCAAAGCUUCGAUCAGUAGCUGGUCUGAGAGGACGGCCAGCCACACUGGGACUGAGACACGGCCCAGACUCCUACGGGAGGCAGCAGUGGGGAAUUUUGGACAAUGGGCGCAAGCCUGAUCCAGCCAUGCCGCGUGAGUGAAGAAGGCCUUCGGGUUGUAAAGCUCUUUCAGCCGGAACGAAACGGUUACGAUUAAUACCCGUGACUACUGACGGUACCGGAAGAAGAAGCACCGGCUAACUACGUGCCAGCAGCCGCGGUAAUACGUAGGGUGCAAGCGUUAAUCGGAAUUACUGGGCGUAAAGCGUGCGCAGGUGGUUUUGUAAGUCAGAUGUGAAAGCCCCGGGCUCAACCUGGGAACU
rnacentral:rRNA from 1 species